CGCCGCCGGACGGUAGAGGCCUCCCUUCCGAGGAGGCGGUGCUGGGGCGGGCGCAGGACUGCAGGCUGGGGCUCCGCUCCCCGGCGGGAGCCCGCGCGUGGUUCCCAGCGAAGUCCCCGCGCGGCUGGGCCCAGCGUGAGUAUUCUCCGCCCGCUGUCCUCCCCCUGGAGGCGGCAGCGCCCGUUUAUUUGAGCCGUGUGAAGAUGUGCCUGCUUCGCCUUCCAUCAUGACUGAAGUUUCCUGAGGCCUCCCCAGCUAUGCUCCCUAUACAGCCUGCAGAACGGUCGGCUGCCUCCAAUCCUGAGGUCAUCACUCAUCAAGAGGGGAUAAUCCCAGGGACAGCAGGAUCUGCUUCGUUACUUGGAUUUAGGAGCCAGAAACCCAUCAGGCAACUAAACAGUAACAAUGACCCGCCAUUAAACACACUGAGAGAAGAGCAUGAUGAAGAGUUUGUACAAGAAGAAGCCAGGAGCACUUGCUGACAAUGCUUACAGAGACGCAGGCUUCUAUGAGCUCUGCCUGUUGAACUGCAGUAAAAAUAGAUCUCCUUCCCCAGAGAGGCUUGGAUGUGGGCACAAUAUCAGUUCAGACGAUGGUCAAUGCAUGUACUUAAUAGAGUGAAAAGACUUUGGACUGUGAAGUCAGAUUACCUGGGUCUGAAUUGUUAUUCUUCUACUUCUUUGUAGUAUGCUUUCACCACAUUAAAAAUUGUCUGAGCCUCAAUUUUUUUAUCUGCAAAAUGGAGCUAAUACCUACACAGGGGCUUUUAAGAGAAUCAAAUGCAACAAUGUUUGAAAAGCAACAUACUCCCCUUUAUGGAAAAAGAGCCUGUAAAGGAACCAAUACAAUGGCUGGGCGUGGUGACUCACACCUGUAAUCCUAGCACUUUGGGAGGCCGAGGUGGGUGGAUUGCCUGAGCUCAGGAGUUCGAGACCAGCCUGGGCAACAUGGUGAAACCCCGACUCUACUAAAAUACAAAAGAUUAUCCUGGCGUGGUGGUGUGCACCUGUUAUCUAAGCUACUUGGGAGGUUGAAGCAGGAGAAUUGCUGGAACCUGGGAGGCAGAGGUUGCAGUGAGCCAAGAUCACACCACUACACUCCAGCCUGAGUGACACAAGACUGUGUCUCAAAAAUAAAUAAAUGAAUAAGUAAAUAAAUACAAAAUAAAU
rnacentral:lncRNA from 10 species